rnacentral:sRNA from 1 species
GUUUUCUGUCCAGAUAUUCCAAUGGAGACAGUUGGAAAACCUGUACUUCAGAGAAAAGAAGUUUUCCGUGGAAGUUCAUGACCCACGCAGGGCCUCAGUGACAAGGAGGACGUUCGGGCACAGCGGCAUCGCGGUGCACACGUGGUAUGCAUGUCCGGCAUUGAUCAAGUCCAUCUGGGCUAUGGCCAUAAGCCAACAUCAGUUCUAUCUGGAUAGAAAGCAGAGUAAGUCCAAAAUCCAUGCAGCACGCAGCCUGAGUGAGAUCGCCAUCGACCUGACCGAGACAGGGACGCUGAAGACCUCGAAGCUGGCCAACAUGGGCAGCAAGGGGAAGAUCAUCAGUGGCAGCAGCGGCAGCCUGCUGUCUUCAGGAUCUGGUGCCAGGAGACACUGCAUUCUACUCCCAGGUCUAAAGAGACGGAUUGUCAUUUCCCUUCUUUAGUUCUAGAACAACAGAUUCCUUUCUUCUUUGGAGUACUGUUUGCUUCGAAGUUUCCCCUCCUUCCAGAGAGAAAAGCACCCCUUCUCUGUCUUCUGAAAUCAGUGGCUGGUCAUCAAUAUCCCCUCUGUGUCAAAAACAGAUGAGCCACGCGUGGCUCCUGACAACGUCCUCCGGGCAGAAUGUGCGCUCAUAUCCGGUGCUGAGUCGCCCAGGGUCUUCUGAACAAUUGGAGCAUUUCUGGCUCGCGACUGAAUGAGGCUGUCCUUCCAUGUGUCUGCCAGCCGGGAGGAGAGCUGCUGUUUGUGCUGCUGGCGUUCCCUCCACAUCCGCUCCUCCACACCCAGCUGUCCCCGGCUGGAAUCUGGAGUUCCCCGGCUGGAAGCUGGGAAACCCACAGUGACACAGGUAGUGUCUCCAGGGUCUCAAACAAUGUCGAUAGCAUUGGGAAGUUCACUCCAAAGAUUUACAAAUGCCCCCGAAAAUGACUUUCUGACUUGGCGUGAGUAACUCUAUCUCUCUCUCUGCUUGGAUGGGAAUUGUCUUUUUAGGGUCAGCCCUUUUUGUCUUCCUCGUUGACCAGGUUAUUAGUGAACUAAUGAAAAUCCUUUGGAUUAGGAUUGAAAUGUGGUCAUAAGGUCGCCAGAAACAACAGAUUCUAUCUUUAGUAUCAUUCAAGUAGAUCAUUUCCUCCCAAUAAGUGGGAGGAAAGAUUUUUUGCUGGAGAACUGACCUGAUGACACUGUUUUCCUGACAAUAAUUCAGAGGCAGGCUUAACCUUC